AACAGUCCUAAGCGAACAUGC
rnacentral:siRNA from 1 species